AGUGCAGUCGAUACAAUUCGCAGAUCAGACUAAAAAUCCGUAUCACGCCAGCAGGUUGAUCGGCUGAAUUUAAGAAGUUUAACCUUUCCCUCUUUUGCUAAGGAUCACUGCUAAGGACCUUCUGAACCAGGACUUUAGUCCCAGAAUGGAUUCCCUGCAACGACUUCCACAGCGUCUCAUAGAAGAGGACAUGGCAGAACCACCUAGCCUGAGUGAAGUACAGGUCAUCAUUGAUAUGGGACAAAGAGAAAAUCCCUGCACAACUCAGGAACACACUCACCAUAACUAUCUUUAAGAAAGAGGACAAAGCAUUGUGAAAAACUACCAUGGCAGUUCCUUGCUCUCCAGCACUGGGAAGGUCCCAGAGUGGUUUUCACCCCAAUAGGAGCAUAAUGGACAUGAUUUUUACUGCCAGACUCCAAGAAAUCAAAGUCAACCACUAUGCAUGACUUUCAUAGACCUAACAAAAGGCGUUGACUCUGUCAAACAGUGGGCACUCCGGCAAGGCUUCACAAGAACGGGGUGCCAAGAAUAAUUCAUCAGAGUACUUAGACUACUCCAUAACAACACAUCAGCCAGAGUACUGAGCAGGUGUGGGGAGGAGACAGAGUCCUUCAGCGGCCAGAAGGUGGACUCUCAUACUCGACCUCAAGAGACAAUGAUGAAUAGUCUCUUUCCUUAAAUGAUUCUUUUCCCUGAAGCUGUAUUGUAUCGAUGGUGUAGAUUUGGGUAUGGACAGUAGGGACAUGUGUGCAGUGUGUG